rnacentral:rRNA from 1 species
AGUGAACGCUGGCGGCGUGGCUAAGGCAUGCAAGUCGAACGGACUUAGGUGAGGGUAACUGAUCCUAAGUUAGUGGCGAACGGGAGCGUAAUACAUAGGUAACGUACCCUUGGCAUGGGGAUAACGGCGGGUGGCAACACCCUUUGCGAAAGUGCCGUUAAUACCCAAUAAUGUCAGAGAGUCGCAUGGCUUUCUGACCAAAGGUGGCGCAAGUCACUAGCCUUGGAGCGGCUUAUGUCCUAUCAGGUAGUUGGUGAGGUAAUGGCUCACCAAGCCUGUGACGGGUAGCGGGGCUGAGAGGUCGACCCGCCUCAUCGGGACUGAGACACUGCCCGGACACCUACGGGUGGCUGCAGCAACGAAUAUUGGACAAUGGACGAAAGUCUGAUCCAGCGACGCCGCGUGCGGGAUGAAGCCCUUCGGGGUGUAAACCGCUGUCAGGGUUAACCAAGCGACCCGUUAAUAGCGGGAAGUUGAGGUAGUCCCAGAGGAAGCCACGGCUAACUCCGUGCC